UACAGUGUAGCGUAGUGGUUAAGGCAUAGGACUUACAAACGAAAGUUUGCAGGUUCAAUCCCCGCUGAGG